rnacentral:lncRNA from 1 species
AGCUAGCGCCGCCGCCGCUCGCCGCCUCGGCACCAGCAGUCGAUCUCCCGCCGUUGUUUGGCCCAGCCAUAGCCUCCGUCGUCGCUCGCCCCCUCUCCCAUAGAUCACACGCCGUCGCGCUCCCCCAGCCCGAUCUGACGCCGCCGCAACUCGCCCCCAGCCCGAACUUCGGCGUCGCCCGACUCCGAUCCCCCGCCGGCCCUCCAGCCAUAGCUCCACCGCCGCUCGACGCCGGUCUCCUCCCUACAGCGCAAGCUCCUCCGCCACCUGAAGCCGGUCUGCCCCAGGCCAAGCUCCCCGGUCCCCUGACGCUGGUUGCAGCCCGACACCGCUCGCCCCAAUGCCAGGCUCCGCCGCCCGCAGAAUAUUCUACCCAGGCGACUCCUCUCUCGCUUUGCUGCCGACCAUGGCAACGACCUCGCCGACACACCUCUGCUGCUAGGAGCUUGUCCGCAGGUUGUUCUUCUCAUUUUUUUUAUCUCCAUAUCAUGUGAAAUAUAGCUCAAAUUGCGAUAUGUCACCUCUGUUUUCCCUUUCUGUCUUUGCAAUGAUGCACUGUAUUGUUGAAAUUAGACAAUUGUUGAUUAAAAUCUGUGAAUCCUUUUUGGUGAUUGGAUAAGAAUUGUUGUUAAAAACAGUGGGGACUGUUGAUUGGAUGGCAAUUGUUGAUGACAUGAUAUUUUUGAAGUUGAUCUGGUUAGGGGGAGCUGCAUUUGUCAUGCCACACAAGAGUACUUUUCUUGUUUUAGCAAGAGAGAUCACUGGAUAUUACUUAUAUUUUUAGUGACUGGUUAUACCAGCUAGCCUUCUAUCCUGAAGGUUCUAUUGCUGAAGGAUAUAUUGUUGAAGAAUGCUUGACCUUUUGUUGAAGAUUUCUAUAAGGAACCACACGUUUCACAAGAACAUCUAAGAACCCUGAUCCUUGAGCUAAUACAAAGGG